AUGUUGAUUCAAGCUCUUUUGACUACAGUAGUGAAGAACAAAGGUGGGUUCUUGAGGUUUUUUGAACAUGAACACGCUAAAUGGGUUGUGAGACAAAACCAUAGUCCUGAGUCCUAUAGAAUGAUUGUAAUUAUCCAGGCUUGGCCGCCCCGAGUCCCUUUGGGGAGAUGGAGGCGGGAUACAAAAAUAAAAUUAUUAUUAUUAUUAUUAUUAUUAAUAUUAAUAUUAUUUUAUUGUAUGACACAGCAAACAAGAUAGACAUGCUGGAUUUCAUAUCACAAAAUCACAAGUCGAACACUUCCCAAGCGUUUAGGACUGUGUGAUGUAUUUUUGGAUUAUGCGUGCAGAUCCCAGUAGGGUGGCCUUUUGCAGUUGAAAGAUCAUAAUUUUCUCAAUGUCUAUUGUUUCCAAAUGCCGGCUGAGAUCUCUUGGCACGGCACCCAGUGUGCCCAUCACCACCGGGACACCUGCACUGGUUUCUGCCAGAGUCUUUGCAGUUCAAUAUUGAGGAAUAUUGCUGCAUGCCUUCCCCCCUUUGUUUUCAAUGCAGCACGGGAUACCUCCUGUGUUGAUGGAACUUCCUGAGACAAUUGCACUUCUUCAGGUAUGGAGCCCAGCCAGAAGUAGAUCAACGUCAUGUGAUGGGAUCCGGCGGGCUCUGCGCCUGAAGAGAGGUGCAAGUGCCAUAGGAGAGGCAAUUUUGCCCAUCUGACACAGUAGUAAGUCUGGCGUCAGGAUUGGACAGUGAAACCACUUUCUUUAAUACUGGUUUGAAACUACAUCAAGUGGUCAGUAUAGAUGAAGCAUUUUUUUAAAUAUUAAUUUUUAUUUACAUACAUUAACAACUUACAGUGAAACAAAACACAAAAACAAUGAACAUUUUACAAAUACAUAACCCCACUACCAAGGCCUGAACAAGUAUCAUUUCCUUUACCAUGGGAUUUAUAAAUCAACCAUUAAACAAAUGUCAUAUCCAAAAUUUCUGACCAACAAGAUUGUAUUGUUUUCCUUUUUCACUUUCUAGAACAGAUUUAAUAAAAACUGACCAGUACAAAUCAAAAUCAGAUCUAUUAGUUUCCCCCCUGAACACCCUCAUUUCCACUGAUAUUUUAUCAUUUAAGGCUACAUUCCAUACCUCUCCAUACCAUGCUUCCAGUGUGAGAUUGGUUACUAUUUUCCAAUUCCUUGUAAUUAUAAGUGUCACCACUGUGAGUAAAAUAAUCACCAAUUCUUUCUUUUCCAUUUCUAAAUUCAACUUUGUAGCGUCCAUUAAUAAUGCUAACCUAGCAUCCGGAGUGAUGUUUAAUCCUAUAAUGUUACUGAUUUCUAUAAAUAUGUUGUUCCAAAAUCUCUUGAGCUGGGAGUAUUCCCACCAUAGUAUAGAUAAAGCCUAAAAGUAACCUCUACAGCAGUGGUUCCCAACCUUUGGGCCUCCAAGUGUUUUGGACUUCAACUCCUAAAAAUUCCAACCAGCUUACCAGCUGUUAGAAACUCUGGGAGCUGAAAUCCAAAACACCUGGAGGUCCAAAGGUUAGGAACCACUGCUCUAUAGGCACAACCCUCUCAAAUCUGAAGGAAAUGUGGUUCACUCUUUAUCUCCUGGCAGAAUGGAUCUUUUUCUCUCCAUGCAGAGGAUCCCCAGUAAAGUAUGUUGGAGGAGGGGAUUAUGACUGUAGCAACAACAUCACAAUUGUGACUAAGUAGGUAAUGUUAAUACGGCAGAUUAGAUACCAAUUGAUCUUGGAUUAGCCGUAGGCUGUAUUUCUGAAGAAGGAACCUCUGAAUAUUCCUUGUAAAAAAAAAAACCUCUAUGAAAUUCAUGGGGUCGCUAUAAGUGGACAGGAAACUUCAAGUCACACACACACACACACACAACUGUCCCAUAUUCUUGAUCAUUACAUAAGCACAACUUGACAUUAUUACCACAAUUGUAACUUCAUCUGCACCCUACUUUAUUUAGCAUCAGCUUCAAGUUUAUUUUUUUCUGACAUGGCUGUUUCUUUGGUCAUGUAUUUAUUUACGGGGUGUCUUGGAACCACAGGAAAAGCAGAAAUUAUGGAAUCUGAAUGUUGAACUUUUUUUUUUUUACAAAACCAUCCAGAUUACUUUCUAGAUAUCAUUGUUUUCUUUUCUUUGUGUAAAAAAGUGAGUACCCCUAUACCUUAGAGUACUUGUGAAAUGAUUACCCUAUUCAGGUGUGUAUAAAACUAGAAAUUUUAGUCAAAAGUGGAUCCAAACAAAUCUGGGAUGGUUUAUCCAUGGCUCAAUGUGAGUACUCUUAUCUUAACUCUUAGCAAAAAGCAACCAUCCCCUUCUGUGAGUAGCAUGGUAUAAGAUGGAAGUUUAAUCCAUCCUGGGAGAACCUAAAGGAUGCAUCAAUCCCUCUCUCCACAUAAAAAUUUCAAACAAAUGUGUCAGUUUGGGCGGUGAGAUAUCACUUGGAAGUUGUAAAGAGCAUUUUUGUUAUACUGCUAGUUUGAGAUUGUGCACCAUCAGCUUUAAGACUCUGAAGAGUCCAGAAGUCUAUAAAUAUUGUUAGAAUCCUUCACAGCAAGAUGUUCUGACUUAACUGCCCUGUUUUUCUUACCCUGCCGAGGCAUGGAUGACUGAAGCAAAUGUUAUUAAAUAUACAUACCUAAAGAAAUUGGAUCUUCUCAUUGCUUCAAAUCCUGCUUUGAAAGGAUUAAAACUUUGCACAGACUUAAUAGAGUCAUUUUUCCACAGUCGCCCGCAGGCACUUCUAAUCCCUGGAAGACUAUUUUGACCAUUCCUAUGGUAUUGGAAAAGAUUUCCCACAGCCUGUUCAGUAUAUUUUGUCACUGCUCAUAGACAAGCAAUUUGGGAAGCUCUUAAGCACCAAGUUUCUCUCAUGAUUUUGGCAGCUAUUGAGGUGCAAAAUAAAUAGGUAAGGAACCGGUUAGACUUUUAAAAUUGUUCUCUCUUUCCAUUUGGUUCUUAUAGACCCCUGAAACUGUUACAGAUUGAUGAUGAUAAAUGGAAGCUCUUACGUGUGCCUGUGAUCCAGAGUCACCCGCAGAACAAUAACAUGCCACUCAGGUUUGCAGAACAAAAAUAUAGGAACUUUACUGAUUCCAAGAAAUCAAAAACAGUAGUAUUUACAAUAGUCCCUCUGAUCACUUACAGAAGUCCACAGUCAUAAAUAGUCCUUUCUCAGUCCUCAAAUCUGCUUCAGAGAAGAAUACAGUCCUGGUUCUUCUCUCUCUUUUUCUCAGCAGCAAACAGGCCUCAAAAAUAGCAAGGCCUCUUUUGAGUA
ensembl:lncRNA